CUGUUACCAUACCGACGUGGUACGGACUCCGUUCUCUGUUCUGGAAGGUUCUGCUUCUCAAUCCCCUUCUCAUUCUUGGUUUCCCUUGUCUCUGUAUCAUCUGUUCCUACUCUCCUUAUGCUUUCCUCCUGUGUCAUCUAAGUGUUGGGCUCUACUUCCUCACCGUUCCUGUGUCUUAAUCCCCGUAUCUUGGUUUGAACAUCUUUCUCUUCACCUUUUUCCUUCUCUCUCAACUUCAGUUUCCCAUUGACUUCUCCCUGCCUUCAUCUCUAUCCCGAAUCUCUGAAUUCCUAUAUCCUGAUUUAUUUCACCAGCCCCAUUUCUGUUGCACACCCUUACCCAUUCGUUGGCAAAACGAGUGGAGAAACGCACCAAGCGUUCCUCAGUGAUCUCAGAAAACUGAACGAGAAGCCGGUCAGCUUACUCAACAGCUCAGGUAGUCAGCUCUUUUUACACAUCAUCAUCCCUCUAAUUCAGGGACAAAUCAUUUUCACUAUGUUCUAGAAAGUUAGAUUUCUUCUGCAGUCUUCACCACAAACUUGCUGUGUGACAUUGAGCAAGCUAUUCUCUGUUUCUGAGCUGCAUGUUUUAAAAAAAUAUGUGCUUGGCAGGGUUGGGGGUGGGGGGGCGGAGUAAGUAUUAGAAGACUCUGGACCAUCUCGGAGCUCAGAGAAGGGAGUUAUGGUUCUCAGGCUCCCCGUGGAAGGACAGUGCUUGUCACAUCUGUGCCUCUGGAGCUCUCCGUGAGAGAUGCCUGCUCAGGAGGUCCUGUUGACGGAUAGAUUCUUUUGUUAACAAAUGGGACUAAUAUUCCAAGAACCCCACUGGCCUAAGUUUGUUUCUCUGCCAAAGUGAGCUAUCAUUAGCAUUUGAGGCAAACACCCAAACGACCUAACCAACGUGGAUCUCCAUCCAUCUGGGUUCACAGGACGGAGGAUGUACACGAUUAAGCGGAGGGCGCGUGAUUUACAGUAAUCCCCAUGACUUUCCAAAGGAGAAUGCUGGCUUGGGGAUACCACCGGAGGUUGUGUGCUGAACACUACCAUAUCAGACACGCACCGUACCUGAUUUCACCAGGGUGCCCACGCUUAUCUGGCAAGGUGUUAAUUUAUGGAUCAGAAAACCGAGCUUCAAAGAAGUUAGCUAUGUUGGUGGCUGGACCCCCAGGAGGCCGACACUGCGCCAGGUAGACAAGUGGAAGCCACACAUGCCAGUCAGUGGGAGGAGGGACAGAUGUGCAGCUGUUGCUACUGAAAUCAGCCGACUUGAAUAAGCCCGUAUUUGGGUCCUGGACAAUCUUAAACAUUCUAUAGCUGGUCUUCCAUGCCUU
rnacentral:lncRNA from 1 species